rnacentral:rRNA from 1 species
CGGUACAACGAGUCGCAAGCUCGCGAGAGUAAGCUAAUCUCUUAAAGCCGUUCUCAGUUCGGACUGUAGGCUGCAACUCGCCUACACGAAGUCGGAAUCGCUAGUAAUCGCGGAUCAGCAUGCCGCGGUGAAUACGUUCCCGGGCCUUGUACACACCGCCCGUCACACCAUGGGAGUUUGCAACGCCCAAAGUCGGUGGCCUAACCUUUAUGGAGGGAGCCGCCUAAGGCGGGACAGAUGACUGGGGUGAAGUCGUAACAAGGUACC